CAAUAGCGUAUAUUAAAGUUGUUGCAGUUAAAAAGCUCGUAGUUGGAUUUCUGGGAGGGUGCCAAUGUCCGCCGACGUGCGUGCGCAGCGGCGCCCUUCCAUCCUUCUGUUAACGCCUCUUGGCAUUCAUUUGCUGGUGGCGGGCUCAGAUAUUUUACCUUGAGAAAAUUAGAGUGUUUCAGGCAGGCUAGGCCGGAAUACAUUAGCAUGGAAUAAUGGAAUAGGACUACGGUCUCUUUGUUGGUUUGAGGGACUGCAGUAAUGAUUAAUAGGGAUAGUUGGGGGCAUUAGUAUUUAAUUGUCAGAGGUGGAAUUCUCGGAUUUGUUAAAGACUAACUUAUGCGAAAGCAUUUGCCAAGGAUGUUUUCAUUAA
rnacentral:rRNA from 1 species